GGACGGGGAGAUGCGCGCGCAUGUCCUCUUGCCUCAGUUUCCCUCUGUGUAAAAGGGCGCUAAUGAGGUUGGAGGUGUGGGGCUUUGCCUCACUGGCACGAGGAAGGAGCAGAUUCAGGUAGCUGGGCGGGAGGCCAAGAAGGAGCGGACAGCAUCCCCCCAGGUCGCCUUGGUGGAGGGCGGCCAGGCGCCGCACGCCCUCAGUGGCUCCUGUCACGGCAGGGGCCCCUCUCCCCCAUUUCUGAGCCAGCAGGUCCCUCCCACUGAGCAUCCCGCCCAACCCUCAUACCCCACGAUGGGGGGUGGGCUCCAGCCCUCCCCCUUGGCAGCAGGCCCGUGGGCCUCCGCCGGCCCAGGCCCGGGGUGCUGGCGUGCCUGAGGAAAGUCACCCUGGGGCCCUGCUCUGCUCGCCGGCAUCCUCCCUGCUGGAGACACAAGCGACAGAGGCAGGCCAGCAACUGGUUUCAGAUGUAAUAUUUUAUUUCAAAGUUUGAUAGAGGAAAAUUCUCUUCUUGGAUCAACACAUCAGACUUCAGCCCAGACAGAGAUUUUACACGAGUUAUAACUCCUGAGAGUGUGAGAGAGUCUGUGUGUGCGUGAGAGUGUGUGUGUGGAUUAUAAACAGAAAUGCUGAGUGACCAUUGACUCUAGAAGCACCAUCAACAUGAUAUGGCACAGAAACAGCUAUGGUUAGCCAACAUGGCAGGGGCUGCCCUUCCAACACAGA